ACUAACAGGAUUCCCCUAGUAACUGCGAGUGAAGCGGGAAAAGCUCAAAUUUAAAAUCUGGCGGUCUUUGGCCGUCCGAGUUGUAAUCUAGAGAAGUAAUGCCCGUGCUGGACCGUGUAUAAGUCUCCUGGGAUGGGGCGUCAUAGAGGGUGAGAAUCCCGUCUUUGACACGGACUACCAGUGCAUUGUGGUAUGCUCUCAAAGAGUCGAGUUGUUUGGGAAUGCAGCUCAAAAUGGGUGGUAAAUUCCAUCUAAAGCUAAAUAUUGGCGAGAGACCGAUAGCGAACAAGUACCGUGAGGGAAAGAUGAAAAGAACUUUGGAAAGAGAGUUAAACAGUACGUGAAAUUGCUGAAAGGGAAACGCUUGAAGUCAGUCGCGUUGGCCGGGAAUCAGCCUUGCUUUUGCAUGGUGUACUUUCUGGUUGACGGGUCAGCAUCAAUUUUGACUGCUGGAAAAGGGCCUGGGGAAUGUGGCAGCUUCGGCUGUGUUAUAGCCCCUGGUCACAUACAGUGGUUGGGAUUGAGGAACUCAGCACGCCGCAAGGCCGGGUUUCGACCACGUUCGUGCUUAGGAUGCUGGCAUAAUGGCUUUAAGCGACCCGUCUUGAAACACGGACCAAGGAGUCUAACAUGCCUGCGAGUAUUUGGGUGGAAAACCCGAGUGCGCAAUGAAAGUGAAAGUUGAGAUCCCUGUCGUGGGGAGCAUCGACGCCCGGACCAGAACUUUUGGGACGGAUCCGCGGUGGAGCAUGUAUGUUGGGACCCGAAAGAUGGUGAACUAUGCCUGAAUAGGGUGAAGCCAGAGGAAACUCUGGUGGAGGCUCGUAGCGAUUCUGACGUGCAAAUCGAUCGUCAAAUUUGGGUAUAGG
rnacentral:rRNA from 1 species